rnacentral:rRNA from 1 species
GACGAACGCUGGCGGCGUGCUUAACACAUGCAAGUCGAACGGAAAGGCCCUGCUUUUGUGGGGUGCUCGAGUGGCGAACGGGUGAGUAACACGUGAGUAACCUGCCCUUGACUUUGGGAUAACUUCAGGAAACUGGGGCUAAUACCGGAUAGGAGCUCCUGCUGCAUGGUGGGGGUUGGAAAGUUUCGGCGGUUGGGGAUGGACUCGCGGCUUAUCAGCUUGUUGGUGUGGUAGGUGCUUACCAAGUCUUUGACGGGUAGGCGGCAUGAGAGGGUGACCGGCGACAUGGGGACUGAGAUACGGAGCAGAAGGCUACCGGACGCAGCAGGGGAGAAUAUGACAGAAUGAGCGGACGUCAGAUACAGCGACGCCGCGUGCGGGAUGCCGGCCUACGAGGUGUGAACAGCUUUCGCCUGUGACAAAGCGGGAUUGACGGUAAUGGAUAAGAAAGCACCGGCUAACUACGUG